CGCUGCUGUACCUUUUAAUGUCUGAUGUUUGCAGACAGUGGCUUGUCAGCCUUCGCUCGAGCGCUAGUGGUUGUUGAUCUGGGCAACAGACAUUGCCACUGCACCUCCCACCAAGUAGUUUCGAAAUCCCCUCAGAUUAUUAUUGAUAGGCACUUAAGUUUACCUAAUCCUUCCUUAAUUGGCAUCUAACAUCUUUUUUGCUGUGGCCAAUUCCCAUAAAGUCCCUUUGCCUACUGUACGUGUAACUCAAAAACAAUUUUAGGCUCUGUUGGUCUGCAGUAGGUCCACAAAAAUCAAAUAAUUAAUUCCACAUCUAUAGGAGUAUUAUGUUAAAUAUUUUGCCCUCUCUACUAUGACCACCACCCAAGUUUACAAAACUGAACAAUUUAUAUUUUCUUCAGUUACUAAAACCAAUUUAAAUACCCUCCAGCCGUAAGAACUUUUCCUGAAUCAUACAGAACAAUUAAAUUCAUAUGAAAUUGAUAUAUGUGCCUAAAGGGGCAUGAGAACUUCUCUUACACUAUAUUGGUUUUGUAUAGGAUGGAGGGAGUACAUGACACUUUGUAACGAAAGAAUGACCCUGUUAUACUUCUAAGGAGUUGAGGCACUGAUAGCUCCAAUAAUCGCCAAGAACUCGUCAACGAAGAACAGAGGGGGGGGGGGGGGGGACAGGCAGAGGCAGAGGAGGAACUGCAAGGCAGGCGUGGGCAAUUUACUUUUGAUGAUUGCGCAUCUGACAAGAGUGUGCAAGGACAGGCACUGACAUGAGGCACAUGGUGCUGAAUCAGUGAUGAGGGGCAGCCAUGUUGCAGCUGUCCAUUGGGUGCACUCUGGUGGCCCCCAUUCCUUUCGGGUCUGGUUCUUUUUGUUAACCCGACUCCUUCAAAAUGUACUCCUACUACUCCCUACUUUUUCAUCAGUUUUGUCACAUAAAUAAAAAGCCCAAAACCCGAACGACAAUUCACGCCUCCGUCUCCGUUGUUUCGAUGGCAGUUUAGCAGCUGCCGACGACGUCGGCCGGAGCGGAGGAGGAGGAGGUGUUUGAACCCAACACACCGCCGUGCGGCCGCGUCAAAAAUGUGUGCUGCCGCCGCAGCAUGUGCAGCUACAAUUGCAUCGCCGCGUUUGCGUAUCGUAUCGUAUCAUCACCGGCCUUGUCGUGUGUCCCCCUUUGUAUGAGCUGUUGUGGUCCGUCCGGUCCUAUGUUUGACAAACAAAACAUGCCAGCAGUAAAAAAAAAAAGUACGUACACACAAACUAGUCACGUACUGUACGCACUCCUACUGCAGUACUGCACUAGCACAACAAAGUAGCAAACAGUGGUAGCUAGAUCAAGCGAGUGACUUUGGCUUGUUUGAUCAACUUAAAAUUAUGAGAAACUGACGGCCAUUUUGGAUUAGUAUAUAUGACGGUUUUGUUUUGAAGCCAAA